rnacentral:tRNA from 1 species
UGCCUCCCUGCGCGAGGGCCCGUUCCGCAGCCGCCUGAGUUGCGGCAACCUCGCCCACGGGUUCGCCGCCUGCGGCGGCACC